UAGUUGUAAACCAUCCCCGAAGUUUUAUUAAAUUAUACAUAGCAGCAUUCACUUCUGGUAGGAACAAUAUGUAUUGUUAAAAUGCUUUCAUCUUUUCCUGUGUAUAAAUAUACCAGAGUAGUAGUAGAAUCCAGAUUCUGGCGCAGUUUGAUAUUUCAACUUAAAAAAAUUAAUUUCUGAUGACCAUUCACAUUCUUUUCUUUUUUUGUUCUUUGUUCACAUACUUAAAUUUAAUAAUAUU